rnacentral:rRNA from 1 species
AUGAUUCGUCGUCUUAUGCGUAGAGCGGAGAUAGCUCGUAGUAGAGGCAAACACGCGCCGUUCCCGGAAAGCAACACGCGCGAGUCCAAUUCGGAUGCUCGUGGGCCCGUGACCCUACAUAACAUACCUACAAAAUCUUCACCGCGCGGUCUCCUCCCUGUACGCAGCCAAAACUCAGACCUAUCUCGACCCCGCUCUCCGACGACCGCCCAGCCGCCGCCCAGGAACCAAUCGCCGGCGCGCCGCCCCCUCCAUAAGAAUCGCUCAAGAUCGAUGAAGAUCCACGUGAGGUUGCUAAACAACACGGCCCACGAUCUCGAGGUCGAGGGCUCGGACACCGUCGGCAGCGUGAAGGCGAAGAUCAUGGAGAAGGAGGGGGUUCCCCCGCAGCAGCAGCUCCUCUUCUUCGCCGAUCAGGGGCUGGAGGAUGCCCGGACGCUCGCGGACCAUGGCAUCGAGGACGGGGCCUCGGUCUGCCUGAUCGCCAUCAACAUGCAGGCUGGGUUUCCCUGGCUUCUACCGUUCGAGACAGAUUCACUCCAGGAAUUUGAGAAGAUGGAAGCUGGAGGAGAUCAGAACAGCCAGGUAGUAUUUGUCGAGCACCUGCCUGCGACACUCGACAAAGGCUACCACAUGGAAGGCUUUGGGAGUGUGCCAGCUGGCAAGGAAACCAAGUGUCGGGAACGCGUUUUCAUCUCUCGCCUGAUGCCGUUCGUGCGCCGCCCCACGCGUUUCCCUGCUCGACAGACCGGACGCCCGGAGCUCGGACUUUCCAGAUCAUCUCGCUUUGUAUCUUGGUACAUCUCGCAUCAUCGGAGCAGCCCUCCUAUUUUGUCAUCCUGUUCUGCUCCAUCUCCGUGA